GAUGAACGCUAGCUACAGGCUUAACACAUGCAAGUCGCGGGGCAGCAUGGGGGUUGCUUGCAAUCCCCGAUGGCGACCGGCGCACGGGUGAGUAACGCGUAUCCAACCUGCCCUUCACCACGGGAUAACCCGGCGAAAGUCGGACUAAUACCGUAUGUUGUCCAUUGACGGCAUCCGAUUUGGACGAAAGGCUUGGCGGUGAGGGAUGGGGAUGCGUCCGAUUAGCCAGACGGCGGGGUAACGGCCGAUCGUGGCUACGAUCGGUAGGGGUUCUGAGAGGAAGGGCCCCCACACUGGAACUGAGACACGGUCCAGACUCCUACGGGAGGCAGCAGUGAGGAAUAUUGGUCAAUGGGCGUAAGCCUGAUCCAGCCAAGUAGCGUGCAGGAUGGCGGCCCUAUGGGUUGUAAACUGCUUUUAUGCGGGGAUAAAGUGGCCCACGUGUGGGCUUUUGCAGGUACCGCAUGAAUAAGGACCGGCUAAUUCCGUG
rnacentral:rRNA from 1 species